rnacentral:lncRNA from 1 species
CAAAUAAAAAUCCCUUGACUGCUGGAUUUUUAAAAAAUGGAGGGAGAGGAGUUGGCUGACAGAAUCCUGAAAUUCACCUUGGCUCAGAGGACCCACAUAUUCAUCACUCUACAAAGUGGAAGGGAAAGCAAUAUCCUGCUGCAUCCAGGAGGAGGUACCGCCCUGGAGUGGAUGGACGUACUGCACCUCGCUGGUCUGAGGCCCACGAAGGAAGCACAGUGGAUCUCCACAGGGCCCUUCUGCUCUUGCACCUGCCCCCUCCCUCCCAGGGGACCUUCUUUUCCAGAGUGCAGAUCUGAGCCUGCCCCUCCCAUUUCUCCCCGUCUGUCUCACAAAAAGCUGGAAGAAUCCUCCUGGGGUAAGAAAGGGAAGAAUUCAGAAGGGGGAGUCGGCCUUCUGUCCAGCAGGUAAGAGAUGGGGGAGGACUGGCUGCAUCCUGCAGCCCAAACUCUGGUUGGUUGGUUUUAAGGGGUGGUAAUGGCCAGGUCCAGCUUGUGGUCUUUCAAUGGUUAUUCUCUCCAGAAGCUAUCUGUGUUACUCCUGUGUUAGUUAUUGAAUAGCUGUCUUUUACCUUCAAACAAUGCAAAGGGCUAAAUGUGAAUCCAAAUUUUUACGCCGUUUCAGAAUUAGGAGAUCCAGAAAUGGAACUUGGUGGUCAACUGUUUGUUUCCCAAGACCAUGGUCUUGCCACUCCUUUCUCCUUGUAAAACCCAGGGC